rnacentral:lncRNA from 1 species
UCCCUCUGAUGACACCACGAAUCUGGGAAUGAAGAACUUCUUCAUGCUGAUUGGAAAUGGCAUUGCGGAGCUGAAACUUAACUGGAGGAAAUAUAUCUCCUGAAGAAGAAAAUAUAAUGCACUUUAAGGAUCUGGCUUCUGGUGAAAAAUUCAAGCCUAGAGAAAACUUAUCCGCUUUGUUAGGAAGAAUGGGUUGGACAAUUUUCUUCAAUUCCACAGGAUAUCUGAGUGCCAUGCUGAGCUUAAUCUCUGCAGCAUGCUCUGUGCUUCUCAUCUCUUCCUGAUGCAUUGCAUGGUCAGCUCUUUAAUUGCAAGCUCCCUGAAGGGCCAUCUUCAGCACUACACAUUGUAUAUCCCUAUAUUGCUGAUACUGAACAUCAAUUCCUACCAGCUCUAUGGUAGAUAUUAUCCUGAAGGGGAGGAUAAAGAAACUGACCACCAAGAUGGUAAUCACUAGUGGAAAUGAAGAAGAUAAAGGCAGUCAAGAAAAGGAAAGCAAAGAAGAAACCAUCUUGGCAAUGCUUGGAAUUAUUGGGACAAUUCUGAACCUCAUUGUGAUCAUUUUUGUGUACAUUUACACAACGUUGUAAACUAGCAGGCAUGCAAAUAGAACAGAUAAAAUGGCCAUUAAGAGUGACGACAAACAUUGCUGACUAUUGACAAGUUCUUUAAUCAGAAUUGACUCUGUAUUAUAUUAACACAUCAUAAAAGCACUGCCUGCAGGCAGUGAAGGCUGAAGCACAAUUAAUUUAACAAGACUUCUUCACACAGUAACAAGCUAAACUCUUCUGUCCUGCCCUCUUCCUUUCGCUUUGGUUUUCAGUUUUGGGGAAAAAAUGACUGCAAUUAUGGGAUUAGAAAAGCUCUGGAAAACACAAGCACGUCUAGCAAAAUAUCCUGGUGAUCUUAUGUGUUCCAUCACAGUGGAUGUGAACAUGCUGGUUGUGAAAUCCCUGAUCAGGAGCUCCAAACAAAGAGACAAGGACUCUGACUCCUCUGGAAAGCUGCCUUCUCCAGAACAGGAGCUGCACACUUCGCUGUCCCCCCAUCGCAAAAGCAUGCUUCAGAGUAUUUACGCAGAGAGUAGUACUGCUGCCAUCUGCUUGCUGAAGGAAGUAUCAGCACCGUCUUGUUAUGAACACAGUUCUGCUUGUGUCCCAAAUCACCUUUGUUUUCCCCAAGUCUAAAUAUUUAAUCAGAAUUUUUAUCUCACUUGCGCUGUGCAUCCACCAGACAACCCACCUACACUUUCUCUUUUCCCUUAGCUACAGCAACACAAAACAAGUAGCAUGAACACUAUAGUUUCCUAUUUCAUGAUGGGAUUAGAGCUACCUAAUAAGAUGCCAGCUCUGGCAGAAACAUCGCCUGCAGCUGUGGCAUUAAUAAUGCCUCUCUCUCGCAUGGAUUCCCUGACUUCUACUAGGACUGAGCUCUUGCUGCAAUAGGGACCUUCACUUGGCAGAAUGUUUUUGCAA